rnacentral:rRNA from 1 species
UUGCCUACGGGAGGCAGCAGUGGGGGAUAUUGCACAAUGGGGGGAACCCUGAUGCAGCGACGCCGCGUGGGUGAAGAAGCGCCUCGGCGCGUAAAGCCCUGUCAGCAGGGAAGAAAAUGACGGUACCUGAAGAAGAAGCCCCGGCUAACUACGUGCCAGCAGCCGCGGUAAUACGUAGGUGGCAAGCGUUGUCCGGAUUUACUGGGUGUAAAGGGCGUGCAGCCGGGCCGACAAGUCAGAUGUGAAAUCCGCGGGCUUAACCCGCGAACUGCAUUUGAAACUAUUGGUCUUGAGUACCGGAGAGG